UACAUGGUGAAUACUGUGUGCCCCUGUA
rnacentral:piRNA from 1 species